rnacentral:rRNA from 1 species
UGGGGAAUAUUGGGCAAUGGGCGCAAGCCUGACCCAGCAACGCCGCGUGAAGGAUGAAGGCCUUCGGGUUGUAAACUUCUUUGAUCAGGGACGAAACAAAUGACGGUACCUGAAGAACAAGCCACGGCUAACUACGUGCCAGCAGCCGCGGUAAUAAGUAGGUGGCGAGCGUUAUCCGGAUUUAAUGGGUGGAAAGGGCGGGUAGGCGGGUCUGCAAGUCGGAUGUGAAAUUCCCGGGCUUAACUCGGGCGGGUCAUCCGAAACUGCGGAUCUUGAGUACUGGAGAGGAUAGUGGAAUUCCUAGUGUAGCGGUAAAAUGCGUAGAUAUUAGGAGGAACACCAGUGGCGAAGGCGGCUAUCUGGACAGUAACUGACGCUGAGGCGCGAAAGCGUGGGGAGCAAACA